AGGUCUGUCCCUAUCCUGGUCCUAAGGGUGUCAGGUCUGUCCCUAUCCUGGUUCAUAAGGGUGUCAGGUCUGUCCCUAUCCUGGUUCAUAAGGGUGUCAGGUCUGUCCCUAUCCUGGUUCAUAAGGGUGUCAGGUCUGUCCCUAUCCUGGUUCAUAAGGGUGUCAGGUCUGUCACUAUCCUGUCAAAGAAAUGCAAAAACUUCCCCACUCUUUCAGCCCCUCGCUCAGUUUUGAUAAUUUGUCAAACUGAUGCAGUGGGUGGAGUUAGGCUCAGAGCUGGGGGUGAACUUACACUUUAAAUAAUGGAGGACUAAUGCCUUUGAAGAUAGUUCAUAAUAUAUUUAGCAAAAGAGAUAGACAGACAGACACUUUAUUGAUGCCGAGGGAAAUGUACUAACAUUUACACUGCCUGCAUCUCUUUCACAGAAACCCCUUCACCUUGUAAACCUCCAUACCUCUACACAGCUGUGGAAGACAGAUGGAGGGAGAGAAGGAGCGAGAGAGGGAGAGAGGGGAAGAAAAAGAGAGUGAUGACAUGGAGGACGGCACAGAGGGGGCAGCACUACUGUGGGAGAAGAGCUACCCUGAGGAUGAGCUUGGCUUACCCAUCAUGCAUUGGGAGGCUCUGGGCCUGCGGAUCGAAGAACUCGAGAAACAAGAGGAGGAGAGGAGAGAAAAGGAGGGUGUUGGAAGACUUCCAGACUGGAUAAAGCGUCAGGAUCUGGGAAUCCACAGAGACACCUGGGAAGACGGAGACGCCCUCAAUAGCCGCGUGACUGCGCUCACGUCACGGUAGUACACAUGCAUCACUGCUGUGACGCCUCUACUAUCUAAUCCAGAUGUGUCAUUAACUCCUAAUGGAGAUUUGCUCUUGGUCUUAUUGUUAUGGUAUUCUUUCUGUAUGUGUUGGAGUAGUGGAAUCAUAACAUGUUUAACAUAGAGGAGAGAGGGCUAGAUGUACGUAAGCCAGAAUAGCAAAGAAUAUUCAGAAUCAGAAUCAGGUUUUAUUGGCCAAGUAAGUUUGCACAAACAAGGAAUUUGACUUGGUAAAGUGACUCUCAUAUUUAAGCAGUGUAUACAAUUCAGGAUUGAUCCCAUAUUUGUCAUGAGGUACAGUAUGUGUUUUUGAUGUCUUACCCAUUGAAUUAUAAAACAAAUGUAUGAGGAAAUCUCACUUUGCAUGUCCCCAGUUUUCAGAGUCAUAUGAAUCUGCAGCUGUGCUUCAUCAAUGAUAGUGAAAGCGAGGAGGACGAUGUCAAGGAAGAAGUAAGAGAAUCAGCUUUCACAUAUUUCUUCUGAGCUAAUAUGCUAAUAAUAUUUGUUACAAAGCAUUUGUGGUAUGUUGCCCGUACAUAUACAUACAUAUACACUCUUUGUAGACAAGGGAAGAGGUUGGAUACUGGUGGUAUUACUUGCGUUGUUUAUCCAAAAAUUUGAGUCCAUUUAAUGAGUUAUUUAAUGGCCACCUAUCCGGAUGUCCUUCCGUGAGAGUUUGAUGUAAGUAGAUCAUUACUAUAACUAGCUAAACUGUCUUGCAUUGCUGCUUAAUAUCCACUCUGCUGCCAGUGUAGUUGGAAUACUUGUAUCUGGAGAGCCCCCACACACAAAACCAUAGACAGCAGAAUAAUCCUUGUCUUAAACUGCUGCUAAUAUCAGUGCACCACAUGUCCAAAUCCCAAAGGAAUAAAAGGACUCACUCUAGCCA
ensembl:lncRNA